ACAAGCGGUGGAGCAUGUGGUUUAAUCGAAGAUACGCGAAGAACCUUACCUGGACUUGACAUUGAAAGAAUCCUGUAGAGAUACGGGAGUGCCAGUUUACUGGAGCUUGAAAACAGGUGCUGCACGGCUGUCGUCAGCUCGUGUCGUGAGAUGUUGGGUUAAGUCCCGCAACGAGCGCAACCCACGUCGUUAGUUGCUAACAGUUAGGCUGAGAACUCUAACGAGACUGCCUUCGUAAGGAGGAGGAAGGUGUGGACGACGUCAAGUCAUCAUGGCCCUUACGUCCAGGGCUACACACGUGCUACAAUGGGGUAUACAAAGAGCAGCAAUACGGUGACGUGGAGCAAAUCUCAUAAAAUGCCUCCCAGUUCGGAUUGUAGUCUGCAACUCGACUACAUGAAGUUGGAAUCGCUAGUAAUCGUAGAUCAGCAUUGCUACGGUGAAUACGUUCCCGGGUCUU
rnacentral:rRNA from 1 species